GUGAAAAAAUAUUUAAAUGCCUCAGCACAUUCAAACAUUAUUUUCUUCAUUUAUUUUCAAUAUUUAAUUAAAUUCCUGCAUUUUGUUUUAAGAACCUGUUCCUACAUGAACCUAUGCAAUCAUAGAUCGGUACCUAGCUGAACAACAUGCUCUCUGGUCAGCUGGGCCCAGACGCCCAGGGACACCUCCUGGCCCAGGAUCUUGGGACAAAUAGUACUACCCGCAGAAUGCAGCCACUCUGAAUCCGGGCUCCAUACUUUCUUGGCCAGGGGACAAGACUACCUCGUCAAUAAGAGGCCUUAUACUCACAAGUUCAAGCCCAGUGAGCGAUGUUCACAUUAUCAAACUCUGCAUCUCAAAAGAAACCUGGAUAGCAAAGCGUAGAGUUUCUUCUUGAAGCAUUUGCAACAGCAGCAGUCAUCAUCUUGAGAUUCUGGCAUCUCCAUUGUGAAGGACCCUCAGUCUGUGAUCAUCAUGCAGAGCGAACCUCAGGUGUGUGUUCAAGUAAUGU